rnacentral:rRNA from 1 species
AACGAACGCUGGCGGCAUGCCUAACACAUGCAAGUCGAACGAGACCUUCGGGUCUAGUGGCGCACGGGUGCGUAACGCGGGGGAACCUGCCCUUAGGUUCGGAAUAACUCACCGAAAGGGGUGCUAAUACAGGAUAAUGUCAUCGGACCAAAGAUUUAUCGCCUUUGGAUGGGCCCGCGUUGGAUUAGCUAGUUGGUAGGGUAAAAGCCUACCAAGGCGACGAUCCAUAGCUGGUCUGAGAGGAUGAUCAGCCACACUGGGACUGAGACACGGCCCAGACUCCUACGGGAGGCAGCAGUGGAGUAUAUUGUACAAUGGGCGAAAGCCUGAUCCAGCAAUGCCGCGUGAGUGAUGAAGGCCUUAGGGUUGUAAAGCUCUUUUACCCGAGAUGAUAAUGACAGUACCGGGAGAAUAAGCUCCGGCUAACUCCGUG